GGAUCGUUCAAUUGUUCAACAAUUCAAUUAUUCUCAAUGGUAAUUAGUGAGAAUAGGUGAGUAUGUCUUCAUAUAAAUAGGUGAGCAUACUGAGUAUGCCUCCAUAUAGCCACCACUACACCUGCACCACUGGGUGAGAUUGAAGUUGUCCGUGUUAACAGUGACACUACACAUAUAAGCAGGCACAGCACUUCUGCCAUUCCCUGCCUUGCAUGGUAUGACUUUGUAUAUACUAGAGAUCUCAAACUACAUUCUGGACCUUGAAGCCAGUUCCACUGCCUUUUUUCAUGUUUCCCUCUAAUGAGUGACUGAUUUAUACCUGGGAAACCAGGAGGGUACAAUGAAUUAUCAGGUAGAACAGAAGACCAACAAGCUCCGGACCUCGUAGGGUAAGAGUUGAAUACCCCUGUACUAGAGUAUAAUUACAUAUUUCACUCUGUUUUUCUAGAGAAGGACCCGGACAGUAUGUAAUGUAUUUGACUUGUGUGUAGAAUAUUAUUUCUCCAUAGAGAUGCUGGAUAUAGAAGUACCUUACGAACCCUCACAUCCUACACAUGUUCAGUAGAGAAGAACAUCAACAGACAUGGAGCUGUUGAAGCAGCUCGACCACAUCCUACAGGGGUUAUUGUGAAGGCUCUAGCCUGCUGCUUCUGAUGCUGCUCCCUCUGAGGAAGAGCAUCCUGAAAAACAUGACCAUGAUCUCCUUUUACUGGGACACUCACAUCUCAACCUCCACAUACCAGUCAAAGACACUUCUGCCCAAAUGCAAAAAGAGUCUGGUAAGCUAACGCCUCAAACUGUGGUCAGAGGGAGCUGGGGUGCAGACAGCAGACAACAGAUGGUUGGGGGUGGAAGUAGAGGUGUUUGGGGUGGAGAGGACGGUGGACUCAGUGGACGACAUCCCAGCCAUUUACCUGAUGGGUAAGUUGACAUCACUUCUACUUAUACAAUCAACCAAACAAAUUUCAAUGGCUUUUUUUCCCCACCAGCAGAUGUCACAAAGUGCUUUUACAGUAACCCGGCCUACACCAGGGGAACCCGGGACAUACAGGGCACCACUGUUCCUGCCUCUCUUUCUCCCUGUGUGAUGACAUAUCCUGUUUAGGCACCUGGCCAGCUGAGUGCAGCUGGCUCUCCCGUCAACAUGAGGAUCCUGCUGCUCCAGCCCCAAAAACACAUUGGCACACAGACACACACACGCACACUAUUAGGAAUGCUAGCCUAUUUAAAUGUUUGUGUGUUGUGUGUCAGAGUUAAGGGAUAGUAAGACAGUGUUUGAGAAGAGGUGUCUGGUGUGGGAGGAGGACAUGGAGAUGCACUCCAAGUUUCUGGACAGAAAGGAAGAGUUGAAGGCGGAGCAUGCCUUGUACCUGCAGCAGCACCUGGAGCUCCUUGCCAUGAUGGCCAACUUCUUGCAGUUCCUUUCACCACGAAAACUGAGCAAUGUCUUGUUUGCCCUUGGACUUCUCCCCCUUCUCCUCCCACUUACAUCCAGGUGGCACAUUCAACACCUCUCCUUGUCAACACACUGGCUGGGUCUCAAUAGUCUGUUAGCUUCCUCUCACAGGCGCUAUAGUGAGGACAAUACUCUUGUCAUUAUUAUGAACAUGAGGCCCUCCAUCAUCAAAUAUUAAUGCUUUAAUGGAAGUUUUGUAUUUUAAUUGUGAGAAAUGUUUUACCGUUAUUGUUUGACUGAGCUUCAC
ensembl:lncRNA